AACGAACGCUGGCGGCAGGCUUAACACAUGCAAGUCGAACGCCCCGCAAGGGGAGUGGCAGACGGGUGAGUAACGCGUGGGAAUCCACCUAGUUCUACGGAACAACAGUUGGAAACGACUGCUAAUACCGUAUACGCCCUAUGGGGGAAAGAUUUAUCGGAAUUAGAUGAGCCCGCGUAAGAUUAGCUAGUUGGUGAGGUAAUGGCUCACCAAGGCGAUGAUCUUUAGCUGGUCUGAGAGGAUGAUCAGCCACACUGGGACUGAGACACGGCCCAGACUCCGACGGGAGGCAGCAGUGGGGAAUAUCGGACAAUGGGCGCAAGCCUGAUCCAGCCAUGCCGCGUGAGUGAUGAAGGCCUUAGGGUUGUAAAGCUCUUUCAGUAGGGAAGAUAAUGACGGUACCUACAGAAGAAGCCCCGGCUAACUUCGUGCCAGCCGCCGCCGUAACAC
rnacentral:rRNA from 1 species